rnacentral:rRNA from 1 species
UAUCAGUCAUGCAUAGCAUAUCAAUAAGCGGAGGAAAAGAAACUAACAAGGAUUCCCUUAGUAACGGCGAGUGAAGCGGGAAGAGCUCAAAUUUGAAAUCUUCAAGGUUCUACCUUGACGAAUUGUAGUUUAUAGAAGUGUUUUCUGUUAGUAGAGUGGCAAAAGUUCUUUGGAAUAGGACAUCAUAGAGGGUGAGAAUCCCGUAUUUGGUCAUUCCUUCUAGCGUUGUGAUACACUUUCAACGAGUCGGAUUGUUUGGGAAUGCAGUCCAAAAUGGGUGGUAAAUUUCAUCUAAAGCUAAAUAUUGGCGAGAGACCGAUAGCGAACAAGUACCGUGAGGGAAAGAUGAAAAGAACUUUGAAAAGAGAGUUAAACAGUACGUGAAAUUGUCAAAAGGGAAGCGUUUGACACCAGUGUUGUUUUUCCGAAAAUCAAUUACGAAUGUUUUAUUUUUGAGGAGUUAUGACUUCAUCGGCUUGCUCCUUUCUUUAUGAAACUUUCUUAAUGCACUUUUCGGUUAACAAGUCAACAUCAAUUUCUUUUGUUGUAAAAGGGUAUGAGGAAGGUGGCUUUCUUUUCGGAGAAAGUGUUUAUAGCCUUGUAGCCUCUAGCAAUCGGAGAGAUUGAGGUCUGCAGCGUAGAUCCUUCGGGGUUAGAUACAGUUUGUGCUAAGUUAUAGUCUUUUAUAGACAACUUGUUGACUAUGAUUUAGUCUUGUAGCUUACUCGCUUAUGCUAUUUUACCUACGCUUAGGAUGUUGAUCUCUCACAGUCGAGC